UACAUGCAAGUCGAGCGAGCGGAACCAACAGAUUUACUUCGGUAAUGACGUUGGGAAAGCGAGCGGCGGAUGGGUGAGUAACACGUGGGGAACCUGCCCCUAAGUCUGGGAUACCAUUUGGAAACAGGUGCUAAUACCGGAUAAUAAAGCAGAUCGCAUGAUCAGCUUUUGAAAGGCGGCGUAAGCUGUCGCUAAGGGAUGGCCCCGCGGUGCAUUAGCUAGUUGGUAAGGUAACGGCUUACCAAGGCGACGAUGCAUAGCCGAGUUGAGAGACUGAUCGGCCACAUUGGGACUGAGACACGGCCCAAACUCCUACGGGAGGCAGCAGUAGGGAAUCUUCCACAAUGGACGCANGUCUGAUGGAGCAACGCCGCGUGAGUGAAGAAGGUUUUCGGAUCGUAAAGCUCUNUUGUUG
rnacentral:rRNA from 1 species